CAAGGGCAUGCCUCAGUAGCGGCGAGUGAGCGGCAAGAGCUCAGAUUUGAAAUCUCACCUAGUGUGCGAGUUGUAAAUUGCAGGUUGGAGUCUCGGGUUAGACGUGUGUGCAAGUCCCUUGGAACAGGGCGCCACUGAGGGUGAGAGCCCCGUAGCGUGCAUGUCGACACCUGUGAGGCCCUUCUGACGAGUCGAGUUGUUUGGGAAUGCAGCUCUAAGUGGGUGGUAAAUUCCAUCUAAGGCUAAAUAUUGGCGAGAGACCGAUAGCGAACAAGUACUGUGAAGGAAAGAUGAAAAGCACUUUGAAAAGAGAGUGAAACAGCACGUGAAAUUGUUGAAAGGGAAGGGUAUUGGGCUCGACAUGGGAUUUACGCAUCGUUGCCUCUCGUGGGCGGCGCUCUGGGUUUUUCCUGGGCCAGCAUCGGUUUUCGUUGCAGGAUAAGGACAAUUGGAAUGUGGCUCCUCGGAGUGUUAUAGCCUUUUGUAGAUGCUGCGUAUGGGGACCGAGGGCUGCGGCGGACUCGUUUCGUCUCGGAUGCUGGCACAACGGCGCAAUACCGCCCGUCUUGAAACACGGACCCAA
rnacentral:rRNA from 1 species